CGGUUAGACGCCCAUAUAAGUUUAUAUGUAAAUGGAGCAACUACUCUAUGGAUUGCGUAUAGUAAGGUUUGUACUAUUGAAGAUAUAAUAGAGUUGUUCUUCUCAUCCCGAGCCGUCUCCUUAUUUGGCCUAUUAACCGCUAAUGUAUUCCCGUGUAAUAAUAUUCCUGUUUUUGAACUGAGGUUCUGUUCAAAUCUUUUAUCUUUUAUCUUAUUCUUUUUGCCUUUUUACUAUGUUUAAUGCUCUGUUUAAUCAGUUUCUCUUGGGGCCUUUGAGUGGGAGACUCUUUGGUACUCUCUGUUCUCAUGUUCUGCAUUUCCAGUUCUAAGAUUCAAAUAAGAGACACUAGGUUGUUCAAAACUCAUCCAAUUUGCAGUAUGUAGCACGACAUGAUUCUUUUGCUCUUGUUUCAUAUAUUGUCAUUGUCAUGCAAGCCAAGACAUAAAACCAGCCCAGAAAGGUAACUGUGAAUCAUUUUCAACCAAACAUUUGCUAUAUAUCAAGCUAAGAUCGAAGAGACAAUACAAGACAAGGAAGACGGUUGUUAUAUUAAAUAAAUAAAGGUAGCUUCUUCUCUAGUGAACGCCAUUCAUUCUGGCUGGUGAGAAUGCAAUAAGUUCUCUAGAAAUGCAGUAUAGAAGACACAAUACAAGACGAGGGUUUAGCUCCCAAUCAUAAUGAGGUCAGUUUCCAAGAUUUCAAAUUUUUUUCGCAAUACCUCAUAGCAAAAUUUAAGAGCCAAAUAAAUGACAUCAAGAACACAACUACAAAGCUGCAUAAGCCCCUGUUGGAAGAGUGAAGAUGCGAUAGCACAUUACUCCAAUGAGUUAAUCAAGUCCUUAAAAUUAAACACCAGCCAAUCAGCUUUGGCUGCAACUGGCUCUCGUAGUUGAACUCCCCCAUAGCAAAUAAACAAGUCCGCACCACCUGGCAUACGAGCCUGCAACAAAAAUUGCAGAGAAGUGCAAAAGCUGUCAAGAGAUUUAUGAUUCAGAAUCCGCAAACAAUUCACAAAAUAGUAUAAACAAGAGCAAACAAGUUUGACAGUCUUGCUUUCAACAUUUUCAAACGCAAAGUUUGCUCAAAUAAUUUGAGUUUUUGCAAACUCUGUUUGUUUGAGUUGUUUUGCAAUAGAUAAAUAACAACAAUUUUUCCUGAAGAUCUACUCUCAGUUUUUUAGAUCUUUUAAAAAUUCAAAAACUGUUAUAAAAUUUUGAAUUAUGGUGGAUGUCCAUAACCACCAAAAGAGUAAUGCUCACUACUCUUCUCCAUUAUCUCCAUAAUUUUCACUACUAUAAUACUUAUGGAGUUAUGAUUGUAACUCCAUAACCUCCCCAUGAUCUUCCUCCAUGAUCUCAAAUGCUUAAUGACAUAUUUUUUCACUUUUCAUACCUAUAUAAAGGCCUUGUAAUAGAUGGAAAGAUCACACAAUUGAAGAAGAAAAUCUCUUCCUUCUCUCUAUCUCUCUAUAUCUCUUAGCUUGUUUUUCCUUGUUAAUUUGAACUAUAUUUUAUAACACGUUAUCAGCACGAUUGUUCUGAGCGACAAUCCUUCUCAACUUUUAGGAAAUGUGUCGCAACAAAGUUGAUCUGUAGCUUCCGAUGUGUAAGCCUGUUGGAUUUCGUAUGGACAGUGAGACAAAUGUUCUAUGGAUUAUCUUUUUUUUGGUAAGCAGUUCAUCAUUCCAAGGUAUGCUCCUAAGUAUAUAAUUUUUGUGCUUACUUAAAUACCAAUUGGAAGGGUUAAUAUAUGACAAUAUAAAUGUCUUGUGGUCAUAUACGUAUCAUACUUGAGCAACGUUUUUCAUAUAGUUACAACUCAAAUAUUUAUUUCAUUCAUAUUGGAUGGUUCAUAAUCAUACAUAAAGUAUAUCUAUCUAGAUGGUUUAUUUUUACUUACAGUACUAAAUUAUUUUAUGAAAUAAUAAAACAUCUGUGGUUUAUCAUCUAUCUUGAAGGAUUUAUCAUGUAAUAGUUCUUUAAGUUGAAUGUCUUGCAUUAGAAAAUAUCCUUGAACUAUAACUUAGUUACAUGACAUAUAUGGUUGCCAAUAUUUUCAAAUGUUCUUCGGUAAGAGUUAGGUAUGUAACCAAUUUAUUUUACUUUGAUUUGGCAAAUGGA
rnacentral:lncRNA from 1 species